GGACUUGGCAGGUGGAGGUGCGGAGCCGGAUCAGGGCCUUGCAAUAGACGCGGGUCUAGACAAUGAGAGGAUAGAAGGAGUUGGGGAACAGUAGCUUGUUAUUCAACUGCAGAAGAAAGAACAAAGAUAAUCUCUGGUUGAAGGAAUCUACUCUGCACCUAGGUACUGCGAGAUUCAGAAGAUUAUCAGGGGAACACCAGGGCUAGUUCCUAACAAUACCGAAGCCUUAAGGGGAAGUGUCAGUUCAGUUCCUGAUAGCAAGUACUGCUUAUCUUUUUCUCAUAUUUAACAAAUACGUGAAUUGGAAACAUAGGUGUGGAGGCUUCUGGGGGAAAUGAGGCAGAGAAAGUGAGUGUCUCAAACCUUAAAGAGGAAGAAACAGGCAAUAGACAAUUGCAGAGCACAGGCUCCAGACGCGCAGGCGCAGCGGCCAUGGCUCACAGGCCCAGCCGCUCCGCGGCAUGUGGGAUCUUCCCGGACCGGGACACGAACCUGUGUUCCCUGCAUCAGCAGGCGGACUCUCAACCACUGCGCCACCAUGGAAGCCCUGUGUUAUUCUUUAUACUCAUGUUGGCUUUUAAAACAGAAAUGUUUCCUGAUAUGCAGUCAUAGUACUGCUGUGAUGGUUUACUGACUCCUCUCAUUUGCUCACCAAAGACAUCUCACUUUACAUGGACCUUGCAGGCGACAAUAGAAUGGC